rnacentral:rRNA from 1 species
GGUUAAGCGACUAAGCGUACACGGUGGAUGCCCUGGCAGUCAGAGGCGAUGAAGGACGUGCUAAUCUGCGAUAAGCGUCGGUAAGGUGAUAUGAACCGUUAUAACCGGCGAUUUCCGAAUGGGGAAACCCAGUGUGUUUCGACACACUAUCAUUAACUGAAUCCAUAGGUUAAUGAGGCGAACCGGGGGAACUGAAACAUCUAAGUACCCCGAGGAAAAGAAAUCAACCGAGAUUCCCCCAGUAGCGGCGAGCGAACGGGGAGCAGCCCAGAGCCUGAAUCAGUGUGUGUGUUAGUGGAAGCGUCUGGAAAGGCGCGCGAUACAGGGUGACAGCCCCGUACACAAAAAUGCACAUGCUGUGAGCUCGAUGAGUAGGGCGGGACACGUGGUAUCCUGUCUGAAUAUGGGGGGACCAUCCUCCAAGGCUAAAUACUCCUGACUGACCGAUAGUGAACCAGUACCGUGAGGGAAAGGCGAAAAGAACCCCGGCGAGGGGAGUGAAAAAGAACCUGAAACCGUGUACGUACAAGCAGUGGGAGCACGCUUAGGCGUGUGACUGCGUACCUUUUGUAUAAUGGGUCAGCGACUUAUAUUCUGUAGCAAGGUUAACCGAAUAGGGGAGCCGAAGGGAAACCGAGUCUUAACUGGGCGUUAAGUUGCAGGGUAUAGACCCGAAACCCGGUGAUCUAGCCAUGGGCAGGUUGAAGGUUGGGUAACACUAACUGGAGGACCGAACCGACUAAUGUUGAAAAAUUAGCGGAUGACUUGUGGCUGGGGGUGAAAGGCCAAUCAAACCGG